UACAGAGUGCUCAAGCGUUUGUUCGGAAUUCAUUGGGCGUAAAGGGUGCGUAGGCGGCGUCGGUAAGUCGGGUGUGAAAAUCCGUUGGAGCUUAACGUACCGAAACUGCAUUCGAUACUGACCGGUGCUUGAGGAGCUGGGAGAGGAGACGUGGAAUUUACGGUGAGCAGUGAAAUGCGUAGAUAUCGUGAGGAAGACCAGUCGGCGAAGGCGGAUCGUCUGGACAGUUCCA
rnacentral:rRNA from 1 species